rnacentral:piRNA from 1 species
UGGUCUUGAAAGUCGUGGGCGCAACAUGGU